GGAUAGCACAGUGGCUACAGUGAUUCGCUCCGAGCCGAAAGUUACCGGGUUCGAUCCCCGGGCGCCGCGGUCCA